UACGUAGGGUGCAAGCGUUGUCCGGAAUUAUUGGGCGUAAAGAGCUCGUAGGCGGUUUGUCGCGUCUGCUGUGAAAACUCGGGGCUUAACUCCGGGCUUGCAGUGGGUACGGGCAGACUAGAGUGCGGUAGGGGAGACUGGAAUUCCUGGUGUAGCGGUGAAAUGCGCAGAUAUCGGGAGGAACACCUGUGGCGAAGGCGGCCCCCUGGUUGGAUACUGACGCUGAUACGCGAAAGCGUGGGGAGCAAACAGG
rnacentral:rRNA from 1 species